rnacentral:rRNA from 1 species
GGCCGCCCCCGCCAGAGGACCCCCUAACUCUGUUUCUAUAAUGUUUCUUCUGAGUAAACAAGCAAAUAAAUUAAAACUUUCAACAACGGAUCUCUUGGCUCUGGCAUCGAUGAAGAACGCAGCGAAAUGCGAUAAGUAAUGUGAAUUGCAGAAUUCAGUGAAUCAUCGAAUCUUUGAACGCACAUUGCGCCCGCCAGUAUUCUGGCGGGCAUGCCUGUUCGAGCGUCAUUACAACCCUCAGACCCCCGGGUCUGGCGUUGGGGAUCGGCGGAGCCCUCUGCGGGCACACGCCGUCCCCCAAAUACAGUGGCGGUCACGCCGCAGCUUCCAUUGCGUAGUAGCUAACACCUCGCAACUGGAGAGCGGCGCGGCCACGCCGUAAAACACCCAACUUCUGAAUGUUGACCUCGAAUCAGGUAGGAAUACCCGCUGAACUUAAGCAUAUCA